UAUGGCCACCCAACUCGACACCCCCCGCGUUUAGCAUAAUCCUAAGCGGAGGAAAAGAAACUAACCAGG
rnacentral:rRNA from 1 species